rnacentral:rRNA from 1 species
UAAAGGGUGUGGUUAUAUACAUGGGUUAACAGCUUGUGUAUGAUGAACCUGAUAGUACCGUGAGGCUUCGGCUGAGCGGAUAGUGUUCCUAAUCAGACUUCCAAGAAAAUCCUCUAAGCUUCAGACAUGUGGUGCCCGUACCACAAACCGACACAGGUAGUCGAGGAGAGAAUCCUAAGGUGCUCGAGUGAUCCGUGGCUAAGGAACUAGGCAAAUUGAACCUGUAACUUCGGGAUAAAGGUUCCCCUGUUUAUCAAUGGGGGCGCAGAGAAAUGGCCCUGGCGACUGUUUAACAAAAACACAAGGCUUUGCGAAAUUGAAAGAUGAAGUAUAAGGCCUGACACCUGCCCGGUGCCGGAAGGUUAAGAGGGGGAGUCAUUCUCAGCAAUGGGAAGAAGCUCUGAAUCGAAGCCCCGGUAAACGGCGGCCGUAACAAUAACGGUCCUAAGGUAGCGAAAUUCCUUGUCGGGUAAGUUCCGACCUGCACGAAUGGUGUAACGAUCUGGGCACUGUCUCAGCCACGAGCUCGGUGAAAUUGUAGUUCCGGUGAAGAUGCCGGAUACCCGCAACGGGACGGAAAGACCCCGUGAACCUUUACUAUAGCUUAACAUUGAUUUUGGGUAAGUGAUGUGUAGGAUAGGUCGGAGACUGUGAACCGGUUCCGCCAGGAAUCGGGGAGUCAACGUUGAAAUACGACCCUUCAUUUACCUGGAAUCUAAUCCGUCAACCGACGGAGACAUUGUUUGGUGGGUAGUUUGACUGGGGUGGUCGCCUCCAAAAAAGUAACGGAGGCUCCUCAAGGUGCCCUCAGCACGAUUGGUAACCGUGCGGAGAGUGUAAUGGCACAAGGGCGCUUGACUGUGAGACUGACAAGUCGAUCAGGUACGAAAGUAGAGCAUAGUGAUCCGGUGGUUCCGUAUGGAAGGGCCAUCGCUCAAAGGAUAAAAGGUACUCCGGGGAUAACAGGCUGAUCGCCGCCAAGAGCUCUUAUCGACGCGGCGGUUUGGCACCUCGAUGUCGGCUCGUCACAUCCUGGGGCUGAAGAAGGUCCCAAGGGUUCGGCUGUUCGCCGAUUAAAGUGGCACGCGAGCUGGGUUCAGAACGUCGUGAGACAGUUCGGUCCCUAUCUGUUGUGGGCGCUGGAGAUUUGAGAGAAACUGAUACUAGUACGAGAGGACCGUGUUGGACAGACCGCUAGUGUACCUGUUGUGGCGCCAGCUGCAUCGCAGGGUAGCUAUGUUUGGAACAGAUAAGCACUGAAAGCAUCUAAGUGCGAAGCUCGUCUCAAGAUGAGAUCUCCCUUAAGGGUCGUUGUAGACUACGACGUUGAUAGGCUGCAGGUGUAAAGGUGGCAACAUCAAAGCUGAGCAGUACUAAUUACUC